rnacentral:rRNA from 1 species
AUGCAAGUCGAACGGUAACAUUUCUAGCUUGCUAGAAGAUGACGAGUGGCGGACGGGUGAGUAAUGCUUGGGAACUUGCCUUUUUGAGGGGGAUAACAGUUGGAAACGACUGCUAAUACCGCAUAAUGUCUUCGGACCAAACGGGGCUUCGGCUCCGGCGCAAAGAGAGGCCCAAGUGAGAUUAGCUAGUUGGUAAGGUAACGGCUUACCAAGGCGACGAUCUCUAGCUGUUCUGAGAGGAAGAUCAGCCACACUGGGACUGAGACACGGCCCAGACUCCUACGGGAGGCAGCAGUGGGGAAUAUUGCACAAUGGGGGAAACCCUGAUGCAGCCAUGCCGCGUGUGUGAAGAAGGCCUUCGGGUUGUAAAGCACUUUCAGUUGUGAGGAAAAGUUAGUAGUUAAUACCUGCUAACCGUGACGUUAACAACAGAAGAAGCACCGGCUAACUCCGUGCCAGCAGCCGCGGUAAUACGGAGGGUGCGAGCGUUAAUCGGAAUUACUGGGCGUAAAGCGCACGCAGGCGGUUUGUUAAGCUAGAUGUGAAAGCCCCGGGCUCAACCUGNGAUGGUCAUUUAGAACUGGCAGACU